CGGAAACUUACUGAAAUACAGUGUACAGUAUUCUGUAGGACUAAACUACAUUAUAUUUAGCUAUUUGUGUUGUAGACUAGAAAAUAUAGAGGAAAAAAUACAGCAAAGCCAUCUAGUAGCUGUUCUAAUUAGGAUAGCUAGAAAACUGGCUAAAAAGGGAAUGAGAUCUGUUAACCAAGCUUGGAAGGAGCAUGCAGUUCAAAGGUCAAAUGUAUGAAAGCAAAGCCUGCUUGAUAUACCAAGAGCUCUUUGUAAAUUUGAUUCUAACUGAGAAGCUAUAGAGCUGUGAAGGGGCGAAGGGCAGAGGAGAUAGUGCAGCACCCGCUGAAACGCUUCCAUUUUGUUUUCUGAGCUACUGCCACAAGGAAAGACUGCCUUCUGUGCUGAUGACAGAUCUGCCCUUCUGUUAUCAGACACUGCUCUUUUGCUAUCUCAGUUUCAUAACAAUUACCUCUGCCUGAGAGCUAUGGAUCAGCCACAUUGGGCAAAGCAGUCCUCUGAGAAAGAGAAUGAUGGAUGACAGAGUGAUUCCCUUCAACAUGACUGGGGCACUGAGGCUCCUGCUCAGCUCUGGAUAUGCUAGAGAACCCCCAUUGCUCCUUUUCACUGUAACUUCAGCUGCUGCACUGGAGCUAACAAAACUAUUCAAAGAAAAGCAUUCCAAGGAACCAUCUGAGAAGGUUCUUCAGCAUUGCUGAUGGGUCUUUCACUAAAUGGCCCUGGGACCUCCUGGCCCUUUAUCCAAGUAGAGGGCACUGGAUCCUGUGAACAGGAAUUGGUACAGUGCAGCUCAAAGGGUCUAACAGCUUUAGCAGAUGGACUGAUUUUUUUUCCCUCUGGAUACUGGCGAUGUGGAAGAGAAGUCUGGCUUCGUCUGCUGUACGCCCACUGACAGACAUCCAAUGGUUAAUGGGAUAUAUGGACGGGAGACUUGAGCUUACUCCCUUGGAACCAUGACAGUUUGAGGUGUUGCCUGGCUCAGCCCUUGGAUGGGAAAGGAAAGAAUAACUUGAACAUCUCUCCAGUCAUUUCCUGAUAUUUUCAGUUAGAGAACAGAUGUGAUUCACUCCAGAAGGGACUGCUGAGUGCUCCCAUGUGUCUGAUCUACUAAGCAAGCAACCUUGGGAAGAUACAGUGUGGCUGUGUGCAUUGAUGAUCAGAAGAUUUGCCAUAGGAAUCCAGAAACACUGCCUUCCAGAGAACCGACUGUUGGCAUGGAAAACAAACACCAGAGAAACCCUGGAAUUCCGAGAUGUAGUUGACUUUCUGAAUGCAGGCAAGUUGCAAUUAAAAAACAGUUAUUUGGGGAGAGCAAUGCAUUCAAAAUACAGUUCUUUGGAGAGGGCUGGCAGGCACAUCACAAGUGAAAUAAAUUAGUAAUGUGAGGAGAUAGUUAUGCUUGAGGAUUAACGAAUUUUGGACAGCUGUAGGAGCCAACCCACUGGGCUCUGUGCAUUGCCUCACUGUAACUAUUUAUGCUGCUCCUCUGGAUACCGGGGCAUCACAGAGCCAGGCAUCUGAAGCACAGCUUUUCCCUACAAAUGCAACCAAACCAGCUGCUGCAUUUUGCAGAGAUCCUGACACUAUAGUGCUGAGCUGCUCUCCAUUCCACUUGGUGAAAUCCGCUCACCUCAGUCUGCGUGUUAGGGGUAUGGCCGGUCAGUCAGGCUUUGCUAGUAUGGGGCCGAGCAAGGAGAAAUAUCCUUAGUAGAGAUAUUUAUUGCAAAGCUGCUGAAAGGCUCACAGUAGACAGCCUACACAACGAAACCAUCUCCUUCAAUUAGUCCAUGGUCAUCAAUGAGGUAAAUGUCUCUGCCUUCUGACCCAGACAGGGUGGAGUUUUAAUAACAGACAUAAAUCUGUUGUGCUUCUCUCCUCAUGACCUAACGUAUGCUGUCAGGGCAAUGCAUGCCUCAGAGAAGGAGUAGAAUUUAUGUGUACAAUAAAACAAUAGAGCUUCAGUGCUAUCAGCUGUUUGAUGAACUUUAAUAUGCAUUUGCUAUAAAAAAGGCAGCGAGUACCAGAAUGCGAUACCCAAAUAAGAACCCUUGAUCCAUUUGCAUGACAGAUCUUCAAUUUACUCACAUUCAUGUCAGAGACACACAUAAAAGUUAUAUCCACGCUAAAAUUCACUUAGAAGCAGCCUGAAAUACCCCCCAGUUGCAAGUGAUACUGCAGUACUUAGCUAAUACUCAUGUUUCCGUGGCUUUGCCUUCACGAUUCUUCCAGUGGUUCCUUUAUGUUUUCUGGUAUUUUGCCAAACACCUGUGAAUCGGAGCACAACAAAUAUUCUUGCCAUU
ensembl:lncRNA